GAUGAACGCUAGCGGCAGGCCUAAUACAUGCAAGUCGAACGGUAAGCUUUGUAGCAAUAUGAAGCCUAGAGUGACGUAAGGGUGCGUAACACGUAUGCAAUCUACCCUCAACAGGAGUAUAGCUCGGGGAAACUCGGAUUAACACUCCAUAAUAUUACGAAGUGGCAUCACUUUGUGAUUAAAACUGCGGUGGUUGAGGAUGAGCAUGCGUCUGAUUAGUUAGUUGGUGAGGUAACGGCUCACCAAGACGAUGAUCAGUAGGGGAACUGAGAGGUUGAUCCCCCANACUGGCACUGAGAUACGGGCCAGACUCCUACGGGAGGCAGCAGUAGGGAAUAUUGGUCAAUGGGUGAGAGCCUGAACCAGCCAUGCCGCGUGCAGGAAGACGGCCUUCUGGGUUGUAAACUGCUUUUAUCUGGGGAUAAAAAGCCCAUGCGUGGGACAUUGAAGGUACCAGAUGAAUAACGCACCGGCUAACUACGUG
rnacentral:rRNA from 1 species